GUGAGUCAUCGAAUCUUUGAACGCAAAUUGCACUCUCUUUCGGGAGAGUAUGCCUGUUUGAGGGUCAGCCUAAAUAAAAUCGGCUUCGUUGCUGUGUUUUCGCGGUAACUUUUGUCGGAAAUUGGGUUAUCUUAAACUUUUCGGUUUAAGUGGCUUAAAAUUUUAUUUUACGAUUCUACGAACGUUUUUAAGAUAUAAUCUUUUACGUUCAAGGUAUCGAAACACUUUUAUUAGACGUGACCGUUACAUCGGAUUAAGUCCAUAAUUUUUUCUUUUACUGACAUUAGACAGGUAAGAGUA
rnacentral:misc_RNA from 1 species